CUUUAGCCCACCAGUCUCUGGUCUCCAGUGGAGGUUCCUACACUAUAGGAUCUGCUCAGUGGAUAUCUUCUAUAUAAGAUUCUUCUCCUGAUUGACCCAUCAAGGAAGAAUAGGAACAGAGACAAGAUGGCGGAGAGUAUAAUAAAUCUUACCCUAGAGAUCCUCUUCCAGCUUACUGGAGAGGACUACACAGUAGUGAAGAAGACCUCUAGUGAGAGCUGUCAGGUCCCUGUCUCUGAAGGAUGGGGAAGAACCCUGAGCCCAAUCACAGGGCCUCCACCUCACCCCCAUAAACAUGGGGAAAUCAAUAGAGAGAAGAUCCUAGAACUCACCAACAAGAUG